CUGAAAAGGAGAGGGAGUUGCUCAGACAUUUCCAUGAACAAUCUUUGAGGGCAAAGCUGAAAAACGAAAAGAAAGGUAGAGGCUUUUCUCAAGUGGGUUUUUGAGUGGGAUGUUGAAGAAGGCUUAUACCAGAUCCUUCAAUUCCUUGCAGAACAGCCUUGGUCUAAAGAACAAACUGGAUGUUAGAGAACUUGCAAUUCAUUUUGGGGUGUGUUCGAAUCAUUCCUGUUGUGCAAAAGGUUUAUACCUGUAAGUUUUAAUUUCCUUUCUGCAAUGCAGUUUUCACGUUGACUGAAGUUUUAAAUCUUGAGAUUGCAAUUUGGAUUUUCAGUAGCGAGGGGGUUUA